rnacentral:tRNA from 1 species
UGCCGGGUCGUCUAAUGGUAGGACUAUGGCCUCUGAAGCCAUGUAUGAACGUUCGAAUCGUUCCCCGGCAG